rnacentral:tRNA from 1 species
GGAGAGGUGGCGGAGUGGUCGAUCGCGCCGGAUUCGAAAUCCGGUUUACGGUUAUGCCGUAACGAGGGUUCGAAUCCCUCCCUCUCCGCCA